GAUGAACGCUGGCGGCGUGCUUAACACAUGCAAGUCGAGCGAAGCACUUAAGUUCGAUUCUUCGGAUGAAGACUUUUGUGACUGAGCGGCGGACGGGUGAGUAACGCGUGGGUAACCUGCCUCAUACAGGGGGAUAACAGUUAGAAAUGGCUGCUAAUACCGCAUAAGACCACGGUACUGCAUGGUACAGUGGUAAAAACUCCGGUGGUAUGAGAUGGACCCGCGUCUGAUUAGGUAGUUGGUGAGGUAACGGCCCACCAAGCCGACGAUCAGUAGCCGACCUGAGAGGGUGACCGGCCACAUUGGGACUGAGACACGGCCCAGACUCCUACGGGAGGCAGCAGUGGGGAAUAUUGCACAAUGGGCGAAAGCCUGAUGCAGCGACGCCGCGUGAAGGAUGAAGUAUUUCGGUAUGUAAACUUCUAUCAGC
rnacentral:rRNA from 1 species